rnacentral:rRNA from 1 species
UGGGGAAUAUUGCACAAUGGGCGCAAGCCUGAUGCAGCCAUGCCGCGUGUAUGAAGAAGGCCUUCGGGUUGUAAAGUACUUUCAGCGGGGAGGAAGGGAGUAAAGUUAAUACCUUUGCUCAUUGACGUUACCCGCAGAAGAAGCACCGGCUAACUCCGUGCCAGCAGCCGCGGUAAUACGGAGGGUGCAAGCGUUAAUCGGAAUUACUGGGCGUAAAGCGCACGCAGGCGGUUGAUUGAGUCAGAUGUGAAAUCCCCGGGCUUAACCCGGGAAUUGCAUCUGAUACUGGUCAGCUAGAGUCUUGUAGAGUGGGGUAGAAUUCCAUGUGUAGCGGUGAAAUGCGUAGAGAUGUGGAGGAAUACCGGUGGCGAAGGCGGCCCCCUGGACAAAGACUGACGCUCAGGUGCGAAAGCGUGGGGAGCAAACAGG